GGGGCUGAUUCUUGGACUCGACGGGAUUUGCGAAACCUAAGGUGCAUGCCGAGGGGGGGUUGGCCUCGUAAAAAAACCUCAAAAAAAAUAAUUGCAAACGACCCGCAAUUCGAAUCUAACGUUGCUUUAGCAGCUUAAUCAGCUUAAUAACCUGAAGAUUCCCUCUCUCCCUAGCCUCCUCUCUUAGGACGGGGAUCAAGAGAGGUCAAACCCAAAAGAGAUCGCGUGGAUGUCCUGCCUGGGGCUGAGGCGUUAAAACUAAUCAGGCUAGUUUGUUAGUGGCGUGUCUGUCCGCAGCUGACAGGUGAACAUAAAGACUGGACUAAGCAUGUAGUGCCGAAGGCGUAGAAAUUCCGGACGCGGGUUCAAAUCCCGCCAGCUCCACCA
rnacentral:tmRNA from 1 species